GAAUGCUGACAUAAGUAACGAUAAAGCGGGUGAAAAGCCCGCUCGCCGGAAGACCAAGGGUUCCUGUCCAACGUUAAUCGGGGCAGGGUGAGUCGACCCCUAAGGCGAGGCCGAAAGGCGUAGUCGAUGGGAAACGGGUUAAUAUUCCCGUACUUGGUGUUACUGCGAAGGGGGGACGGAGAAGGCUAUGUUGGCCGGGCGACGGUUGUCCCGGUUUAAGCGUGUAGGUGUGUGUUCCAGGUAAAUCCGGUUCACUUUAACACUGAGGCGUGACGACGAGGCACUACGGUGCUGAAGCAACAAAUGCCCUGCUUCCAGGAAAAGCCUCUAAGCAUCAGGUAACACGAAAUCGUACCCCAAACCGACACAGGUGGUCAGGUAGAGAAUACCAAGGCGCUUGAGAGAACUCGGGUGAAGGAACUAGGCAAAAUGGUGCCGUAACUUCGGGAGAAGGCACGCUGACACGUAGGUGAAGUGAUUUACUCAUGGAGCUGAAGUCAGUCGAAGAUACCAGCUGGCUGCAACUGUUUAUUAAAAACACAGCACUGUGCAAACACGAAAGUGGACGUAUACGGUGUGACGCCUGCCCGGUGCCGGAAGGUUAAUUGAUGGGGUCAGCGCAAGCGAAGCUCCUGAUCGAAGCCCCGGUAAACGGCGGCCGUAACUAUAACGGUCCUAAGGUAGCGAAAUUCCUUGUCGGGUAAGUUCCGACCUGCACGAAUGGCGUAAUGAUGGCCAGGCUGUCUCCACCCGAGACUCAGUGAAAUUGAACUCGCUGUGAAGAUGCAGUGUACCCGCGGCAAGACGGAAAGACCCCGUGAACCUUUACUAUAGCUUGACACUGAACAUUGAGCCUUGAUGUGUAGGAUAGGUGGGAGGCUUUGAAGUGUGGACGCCAGUCUGCAUGGAGCCGACCUUGAAAUACCACCCUUUAAUGUUUGAUGUUCUAACGUGGACCCGUAAUCCGGGUUGCGGACAGUGUCUGGUGGGUAGUUUGACUGGGGCGGUCUCCUCCUAAAGAGUAACGGAGGAGCACGAAGGUUGGCUAAUCCUGGUCGGACAUCAGGAGGUUAGUGCAAUGGCAUAAGCCAGCUUGACUGCGAGCGUGACGGCGCGAGCAGGUGCGAAAGCAGGUCAUAGUGAUCCGGUGGUUCUGAAUGGAAGGGCCAUCGCUCAACGGAUAAAAGGUACUCCGGGGAUAACAGGCUGAUACCGCCCAAGAGUUCAUAUCGACGGCGGUGUUUGGCACCUCGAUGUCGGCUCAUCACAUCCUGGGGCUGAAGUAGGUCCCAAGGGUAUGGCUGUUCGCCAUUUAAAGUGGUACGCGAGCUGGGUUUAGAACGUCGUGAGACAGUUCGGUCCCUAUCUGCCGUGGGCGCUGGAGAACUGAGGGGGGCUGCUCCUAGUACGAGAGGACCGGAGUGGACGCAUCACUGGUGUUCGGGUUGUCAUGCCAAUGGCACUGCCCGGUAGCUAAAUGCGGAAGAGAUAAGUGCUGAAAGCAUCUAAGCACGAAACUUGCCCCGAGAUGAGUUCUCCCUGAGACUUAGAG
rnacentral:rRNA from 1 species